rnacentral:lncRNA from 1 species
CCCUACCUCCCAGGUUCAAAGGCUCAGUCCAAGGGUUCGGCUAAUCAGUAGAUUCUAGAGAGAAGUGAUCCGUUCAGUGGUGAGUCUUCUUUGUUCCAGAAGGCCUGUUAUUUUAGAUUAUGUUAUUUCCAUUGAUUUGGUCUACUGGUGGCCUUGUCCUAGUUUUCAGAAUAGUUUUGUGAUGUAGUAGAGAUUUUGCAGACUGGGUCGGAUCUUAUUCAGAUGUUUUGAAUUG